UACGUAGGGUCCGAGCGUUGUCCGGAAUUAUUGGGCGUAAAGAGCUCGUAGGCGGUUUGUCGCGUCUGCUGUGAAAACUCGGGGCUUAACUCCGGGCCUGCAGUGGGUACGGGCAGACUAGAGUGCGGUAGGGGGGAGACUGGAAUUCUGGUGUAGCGGUGAAAUGCGCAGAUAUCAGGAGGAACACCGGUGGCGAAGGCGGGUCUCUGGGCCGUAACUGACGCUGAGGAGCGAAAAGCGUGGGGGGGAGCGAACAGG
rnacentral:rRNA from 1 species